rnacentral:rRNA from 1 species
CCGCGGUAAUACGUAGGGCGCAAGCGUUAUCCGGAAUUAUUGGGCGUAAAGAGCUCGUAGGCGGUUUGUCGCGUCUGCUGUGAAAUCCGGAGGCUCAACCUCCGGCCUGCAGUGGGUACGGGCAGACUAGAGUGCGGUAGGGGAGAUUGGAAUUCCUGGUGUAGCGGUGGAAUGCGCAGAUAUCAGGAGGAACACCGAUGGCGAAGGCAGAUCUCUGGGCCGUAACUGACGCUGAGGAGCGAAAGGGUGGGGAGCAAACAGGCUUAGAUACCCUGGUAGUCCACCCCGUAAACGUUGGGAACUAGUUGUGGGGUCCAUUCCACGGAUUCCGUGACGCAGCUAACGCAUUAAGUUCCCCGCCUGGGGAGUACGGCCGCAAGGCUAAAACUCAAAGGAAUUGACGGGGACCCGCACAAGCGGCGGAGCAUGCGGAUUAAUUCGAUGCAACGCGAAGAACCUUACCAAGGCUUGACAUAUACGAGAACGGGCCAGAAAUGGUCAACUCUUUGGACACUCGUAAACAGGUGGUGCAUGGUUGUCGUCAGCUCGUGUCGUGAGAUGUUGGGUUAAGUCCCGCAACGAGCGCAACCCUCGUUCUAUGUUGCCAGCACGUAAUGGUGGGAACUCAUGGGAUACUGCCGGGGUCAACUCGGAGGAAGGUGGGGAUGACGUCAAAUCAUCAUGCCCCUUAUGUCUUGGGCUUCACGCAUGCUACAAUGGCCGGUACAAAGGGCUGCAAUACCGCGAGGUGGAGCGAAUCCCAAAAAGCCGGUCCCAGUU